rnacentral:rRNA from 1 species
AUGGCUCGCCUUCCCUGCUCAUCCCUCCUCCUCCUCUUCUUGUCGUCGCAGCUCGCCCUGCUCGUCGCCGGCGAGUUCCUCCGCCUGCCGUCCGAGAAGGACGUCGUCGGGACGAGAUGGGCCGUCCUCAUCGCCGGCUCCAACGGCUACUACAACUACCGCCACCAGGCGGACGUAUGCCACGCGUACCAGAUCAUGAAGAAGGGCGGGCUGAAGGACGAGAACAUCAUCGUCUUCAUGUACGACGACAUCGCCGGCAACCGCGACAACCCCAGGCCUGGGGUCAUCAUCAACCACCCCAAAGGCGGCGACGUCUACGCCGGAGUCCCCAAGGACUACACGGGGGCAGACGUCAACGCCAACAACUUCCUCGCCGCGCUGCUCGGCGACAAGUCCAAGCUCACCGGCAGCGGCAGCGGCAAGGUCGUCAGCAGCGGCCCGGACGACCACAUCUUCGUCUAUUACGCCGAUCACGGUGGCCCAGGGAUCCUUGGGAUGCCGGGCGACGAGGAGUACCUGUACGCGAACGACCUGGUGCGGACGCUGGAGAAGAAGCACGCCGGCGGGGCCGGGUAUAAGAGCCUGGUCUUCUACCUGGAGGCCUGCGAGUCCGGGAGCAUCUUCGAGGGCCUCCUCCCGGGCAACAUCAGCGUGUACGCGACCACGGCGGCCAACGCGGAGGAGAGCAGCUGGGGCACCUACUGCCCCGGCGACGACGAGGGCGCCCCGCCGCCCGAGUACGACACCUGCCUCGGCGACCUCUACAGCGUCGCCUGGAUGGAGGACAGCGACGCGCACAACCUCAACGCCGAGUCCCUCAAGCAGCAGUACGAGCGGGUCAGGGACCGGACGUCGGCCAACGGCACGUACAGCCUCGGCUCCCACGUCAUGCAGUACGGCGACCUGGGCCUCAACGACCAGAGCCUCUUCCUCUUCAUCGGCACCAAUCCUGCCAACGACAACGCCUCCUUCCUCCAGGGCUCCUCCUCGACCUCCAGGCAGCUGCCGGGCGGCAGGGUGAACCAGCGGGACGCCGACCUCGUCCACUUCUGGCACAAGUACCGGAGGUCGGCGGAGGGGUCGGCCGAGAAAGGCGAGGCGCGGAGGCGGCUGGUGGAGACGAUGGCGCGGCGGUCUCGCGUGGACAGCAGCGUGGAGCUCAUCGGCGGCCUCCUCUUCGGCUCAGAGGAAGGUGCCAAGGUCCUCGGCGCCGUGCGGCCGGCGGGGCAGCCUGUGGUGGAUGACUGGGACUGCCUCAAGUCUGUGGUGUGGACGUUCCAGCAGCGGUGCGGGCCGCUGACGCAGUACGGGAUGAAGCACAUGCGCUCGCUCGCCAACCUCUGCAACGCCGGCGUCCGUGAGGAGGCCAUGGACAAGGCUGCGUCUCAGGCGUGCGCUGCUAAUCCUUCCUCCUUGUUCUGA